CGUGCUGGAACACCAGUGAGGAUAUUAGUAUGGGCUUGAGGCUUUACCUCCCUAUCCUUGCAGACAAAUCCUAAGCCUCCUAAGGCAGGGCUUAUGGGGGUUAUACACAGAUCAGCUGCACUUAGCCUCUUAAAACCGCUGUGCAGCCGCUACCUCACGCCAAAGACGCCUUUGAUUGGGCAUACUGGAGACACGCAGAUCUUUAAUUUGGGCAGAGCUGAGCAUUGGCGUCCCAGGCCGCGAGCCCGCCGCUUCCUGACGGCGGCAGCGAGGUGAGGGGAGCAGCCCAGUCCCAGCGAUCCCAGUGGGAGGCGAGGAGACCCAGCAGCACCCCAACCGUCCGAGGGCUGCCCCGAAGGGCCAGCCAACGGCUGUGCCCCCACCGCCUUUUUUCACCGAGGGGCGGUGCGAGUCACGUGAGGCGGCUCGACCAAUAGGCAGCAGCACGGUGGUCUCGCGGGAGCGGCGGGUGGUAUUUAAGGGCCGGGGAAGGGCUGAUUGCUCUCUUUGCCCGCCAGACGCCGACGCGGUAACUGCCGAGCCGCGGGGAGGAUGGCGGCAAAAAGCGUCCUGGGGUGUCGGCGGGGCUUUGGGGAGCCCCAGGAGGCCGCCCUCGGCUCCGUGGGGGUGGGAGGCCGAGCCCCAUGGGCCUCCGGUGCUGGCGUCUGGAGUUUCCCCUUCAAAUAUCCCUAGGAGACACUUAGAAAUUCCACGUUUGAAAUGGCCUAGAUGUGGAUGAUCACACUUAAAUUGGAGGCAGUGCUCAGCCCUACUUAGGAAUGAACAAUACCUUCUGCUAAGAAGAGUUUUCAAGUGUGAUGGUACUGCUUAACCACCUAGGAUGCACUUCAUGAGCUUGUGUGAUAAACAGCUUGAGUCAAGAGUUCCAUCUAAAUUGAUUGGUCUCCAGAGAGAAAACCAGAAUGUGCAAGGGAUUCGAACUGAUAUUAAAUGUCAGCUUGUGAUUUGUUGAGUGGAUGACUACUGACCACCCAGGAUUACUCCAGUUGUCCUCUGUAAUGUGUUGUCUUGCAAGUGGAAUUGAGAUAAGCAAUGGCUACAGCUACAUAUCUUCCAUUAUUGUUUAAACAGGAAUCUAGCUAUUGGUUGAAACUGAAGUUUCUUAAAGUUCUGUAAUGUAUUUGUGUGGAUUAAUUGAAAUAAAACAAAGAUUCUACCAGAA